CCAAGGAGUCUAACAUGCGCGCGAGUCAUUGGGUCUUGCUUAGGCCCAUAGGCGUAAUGAAAGUGAAGGCGGAUCCUCGUGGUUUGCCGAGUUGGGAUCCCGCACCCCUCGUGGGUCGGGCGCACCAACGGCCCGAUUCUCAGCCGCUACGUCGGUGGGUCGGAGCUUGAGCGCGCACGUUGGGACCCGAAAGAUGGUGAACUAUGCCUGGGCAGGACGAAGCCAGAGGAAACUCUGGUGGAGGUCCGCAGCGAUUCUGACGUGCAAAUCGAUCGUCAGACCUGGGUAUAGGGGCGAAAGACUAAUCGAACCAUCUA
rnacentral:rRNA from 1 species